UCCAUGUCAUAGUUGUGAAAUGUGGUGGAGGGUAAGUGGUUGGAUGCCAACACAAUCGAGGUGAGAGGGAGGGGUCCAGAACCCACGAAGGCGAUUUUGCUGGGGACAUGGGUGCAGUGCUGGGUGAGGAUAGUGAACUCAAGGAGACCAAGUUUGAGGUAGUUUGAAUAAUAAGGAAAAAUAUGAAGGUUUUGAAGAGGGUUGUCGUAUGAACCUAGGAGAGUUGAGUAGUGGGUCUCUAAAUGGCCUUCGGCUUCACCACAGAGUUUUAUAAGGUGAGAUCUAAUCUCUUGCACGUUUUUGUUUAGGUUUGUGACAUCUAUUGGGCUGGGGGGUAUGCAUGUGAGGACUAGUUGGGUGAAAAGCAUGUCGACAUUUU
rnacentral:lncRNA from 1 species